rnacentral:rRNA from 1 species
CCAUGCCGCGUGCGGGAAGAAGGCCUUCGGGUUGUAAACCGCUUUUGUCAGGGAAGAAAUCCUUUGAACUAAUACUUCGGAGGGAUGACGGUACCUGAAGAAUAAGCACCGGCUAACUACGUGCCAGCAGCCGCGGUAAUACGUAGGGUGCAAGCGUUAAUUGGAAUUACUGGGCGUAAAGCGUGCGCAGGCGGUUAUGCAAGACAGAUGUGAAAUCCCCGGGCUCAACCUGGGAACUGCAUUUGUGACUGCAUGGUUAGAGUACGGUAGAGGGGGAUG